UACGGAGGGGGCGAGCGUUGUCCGGAAUUACUGGGCGUAAAGCGCGUGCAGGCGGUUUGGCAAGUUGGGCAUGAAAUCUCUCGGCUCAACCGGGAGAGGUUGUCCGAUACUUCCAGACUUGAGGGCAGUAGAGGGUGGUGGAAUUCCGGGUGUAGCGGUGAAAUGCGUAGAGAUCGGGAGGAACACCCAGGGGGAAACCAGCCGACUGGGCAUCUGCUGACGCUGAGGUGCGAGAGCGUGGGGAGCGAACAGG
rnacentral:rRNA from 1 species